GUAGGGAAUCUUGCGCAAUGGGCGAAAGCCUGACGCAGCGACGCCGCGUGAGUGAUGAAGGCCUUAGGGUUGUAAAGCUCUGUGGAGGGGGACGAAUAAGCGCUGGUUAACAGCUGGCGCGAUGACGGUACCUCUUUAGCAAGCACCGGCUAACUCUGUGCCAGCAGCCGCGGUAAGACAGAGGGUGCGAACGUUGUUCGGAAUUACUGGGCGUAAAGCGCGUGUAGGCUGUUGCGCAAGUCGGGUGUGAAAGCCCUGGGCUCAACCCAGGAAGCGCACUCGAAACUGCAUGACUAGAGUCUCGGAGAGGGAGGCGGAAUUCUCGGUGUAGAGGUGAAAUUCGUAGAUAUCGAGAGGAACACCAGUGGCGAAGGCGGCCUCCUGGACGAUGACUGACGCUGAGACGCGAAAGCGUGGGGAGCAAACAGGAUUAGAUACCCUAGUAGUCC
rnacentral:rRNA from 1 species